GUGAGGAAUAUUGGACAAUGGAUGGAAAUCUGAUCCAGCCAUGCCGCGUGCAGGAAGACGGCCCUAUGGGUUGUAAACUGCUUUUAUACGGGAGCAAUAAGGUCUAUGCAUAGAUUGAUGAGAGUACCGUAUGAAUAAGCAUCGGCUAACUCCGUGCCAGCAGCCGCGGUAAUACGGAGGAUGCGAGCGUUAUCCGGAUUUAUUGGGUUUAAAGGGUGCGUAGGCGGCUUUGUAAGUCAGCGGUGAAAUUUUGCAGCUUAACUGUAAAAGCGCCGUUGAUACUGUGAAGCUAGGAUUUGGUUGCUGUGGGCGGAAUGUGUGGUGUAGCGGUGAAAUGCAUAGAGAUCACACAGAAUAUCGAUUGCGAAGGCAGCUCACAAAGCCAAUAUUGACGCUGAGGCACGAAAGUGUGGGGAUCAAACAGGAUUAGAUACCCGGUAGUCC
rnacentral:rRNA from 1 species